rnacentral:rRNA from 1 species
UACAGGGGGGGGCAAGCGUUGUUCGGAAUUACUGGGCGUAAAGGGGUUGUAGGCGGCCAACUAAGUCCGACGUGAAAUCCCAAAGCUUAACUUUGGAACUGCGUCGGAUACUGGAUGGCUUGAAUUCGGGAGAGGGAUGCAGAAUUCCAGGUGUAGCGGUGAAAUGCGCAGAUAUCGGGGAGGAACACCGGUGGCGAAGGCGGUUCUCUGGGCCUUACCUGACGCUGAGGAGCGAAAGCGUGGGGAGCGAACAGG